AGAGUUUGAUCCUGGCUCAGGAUGAACGCUAGCGGCAGGCUUAACACAUGCAAGUCGAACGAAGCUACUAGAUGGAUCCCUUCGGGGUGAAGCCUUGUAGACUUAGUGGCGGACGGGUGAGUAACGCGUGGAUAACCUACCUCAUACUGGGGGACAACAGUUGGAAACGACUGCUAAUACCGCAUAAGCGCACGGUGCUGCAUGGCACAGUGUGAAAAACUCCGGUGGUAUGAGAUGGAUCCGCGUCUGAUUAGGUAGUUGGUGAGGUAACGGCCUACCAAGGCGACGAUCAGUAGCCGGCCUGAGAGGGUGAACGGCCACAUUGGGACUGAGACACGGCCCAAACUCCUACGGGAGGCUGCAGUGGGGAAUCUUCCGCAAUGGACGAAACCCUGAUGCAGCAACGCCGCGUGAGUGAUGACGGCCUUCGGGUUGUAAAGCUCUGUCUUUAGGGACGAUAAUGACGGUACCGGAAUAGAAAGCCACGGCUAACUACGUGCCAGCAGCCGCGGUAAUACGUAGGUGGCAAGCGUUGUCCGGAUUUACUGGGCGUAAAGGGAGCGUAGGUGGAUAUUUAAGUGGGAUGUGAAAUACCCGGGCUUAACCUGGGUGCUGCAUUCCAAACUGGAAAUCUAGAGUGCAGGAGGGGAAAGUGGAAUUCCUAGUGUAGCGGUGAAAUGCGUAGAGAUUAGGAAGAACACCAGUGGCGAAGGCGGCUGUCUGGUCUGUAACUGACGCUGAGGCUCGAAAGCAUGGGUAGCGAACAGGAUUAGAUACCCUGGUAGUCCAUGCCGUAAACGAUGAAUGCUAGGUGUAGGAGGUAUCGACCCCUUCUGUGCCGGAGUUAACGCAAUAAGUACCCCGCCUGGGGAGUACGGCCGCAAGGCUAAAACUCAAAGAAAUUGACGGGGGCCCGCACAAGCGGCGGAGCAUGCGGAUUAAUUCGAUGCAACGCGAAGAACCUUACCAGGUCUUGACAUCUUUUGAUCACCUGAGAGAUCAGGUUUCCCCUUCGGGGGCAAAAUGACAGGUGGUGCAUGGUUGUCGUCAGCUCGUGUCGUGAGAUGUUGGGUUAAGUCCCGCAACGAGCGCAACCCUUACCUUUAGUAGCCAGCACGUCAUGGUGGGAACUCUAGAGGGACUGCCCGGGAUAACCGGGAGGAAGGUGGGGAUGACGUCAAAUCAUCAUGCCCCUUAUGACCAGGGCUACACACGUGCUACAAUGGCGUAAACAAAGAGAGGCGAACCUGCGAGGGUGAGCAAAUCUCAAAAAUAACGUCUCAGUUCGGAUUGUAGUCUGCAACUCGACUACAUGAAGCUGGAAUCGCUAGUAAUCGCGAAUCAGAAUGUCGCGGUGAAUACGUUCCCGGGUCUUGUACUCACCGCCCGUCA
rnacentral:rRNA from 1 species